AGUCCAUCCAGCAACAGCUGUCACAGAUGGCCAUGUUGUCUUUAUUAAUUAGUCUGCCAAUCCAAAGACGUUCAUUGGUGAGAUGAACAACACCUCCUUGGUAAUUCUACUGCCAACAGGACUCCACCCAUGUAAGCACGUAAAGGGCAACAUAUAGCAAGGCUCUCUCAAAAGGGUGGAUCUAUACAUCACCAGUGGUGCCAAGGAGUUGAAGGCAACAUUAGUACAAGGGAGAGCAAUGUAACAGGCUUGGAAGAAGCCAGCCCCGGUCAGCCUCGGUGUGCAGGUGGAGUCAAGGGCGUUCCACAACCGGAGGCCAGCAAACCCUGGGAGGCAGAUAAUUCACAGUGCAGGACCCCCAGGAGCUCUGAGCCUCUCACUGCUGAUC